UACGGGGGGGGCAAGCGUUGUUCGGAAUUACUGGGCGUAAAGGGCUCGUAGGCGGCCAACUAAGUCAGACGUGAAAUCCCUCGGCUUAACCGGGGAACUGCGUCUGAUACUGGAUGGCUUGAGUUUGGGAGAGGGAUGCGGAAUUCCAGGUGUAGCGGUGAAAUGCGCAGAUAUCAGGAGGAACACCAAUUGCGAAGGCAGCUCGCUGGGACGCUACUGACGCUGAGACGCGAAAGCGUGGGGAGCAAACAGG
rnacentral:rRNA from 1 species